UACGUAUGGUGCAAGCGUUAUCCGGAUUUACUGGGCGUAAAGGGAGCGUAGACGGUAAUGUAAGUCUGGAGUGAAAGGCGGGGGCCCAACCCCCGGACUGCUCUGGAAACUAUGUUACUAGAGUGCAGGAGAGGUAAGCGGAAUUCCUAGUGUAGCGGUGAAAUGCGUAGAUAUUAGGAGGAACACCAGUGGCGAAGGCGGCUUACUGGACUGUAACUGACGUUGAGGCUCGAAAGCGUGGGGAGCAAACAGG
rnacentral:rRNA from 1 species